rnacentral:rRNA from 1 species
AACGAACGCUGGCGGCGUGGAUAAGACAUGCAAGUCGGACGAGAUUUUUCGCUGUAGCAAUACGGUGGAAAGUCUAGUGGCGAACGGGUGCUUAACACGUGGGCAACCUGCCGAGAAGUGGGGGAUAGCUCGCCGAAAGGCGAAUUGAUACCGCAUGUGAUUAGAGAGGACAUCCUUUCGAAAUUAAAGUCGGGGCAACCUGACGCUUUUUGUGGGGCCCGCGGCCUAUCAGCUAGUUGGUGAGGUAACGGCUCACCAAGGCUUUGACGGGUAGCUGGUCUGAGGGGACGACCAGCCACACUGGGACUGGGACACGGCCCAGACACCUACGGGUGGCAGCAGUCGAGAAUUUUUCUCAAUGGGGGAAACCCUGAAGGAGCGACGCCGCGUGGAGGAUGAAGGUCUUCGGAUUGUAAACUCCUGUCAUUGGGGAACAAGGUGCAUACGUUAACUGCGUGUGCAUUGAUAGUACCCGAAGAGGAAGAGACGGCUAACUCUGUGCCAGCCGCCGCGGUAAUAC